rnacentral:rRNA from 1 species
GACAGAGGGGGCAAGCGUUGCUCGGAAUUACUGGGCGUAAAGGGCGCGUAGGCGGGAUGGCAAGUCGGUCGUGAAAUCCCUCGGCUCAACUGAGGAUCGUCGAUCGAUACUGCCGUUCUUGAGGAUUGCAGAGGAGACUGGAAUUCCCGGUGUAGCGGUGAAAUGUGUAGAUAUCAGGAGGAACACCGGUGGCGAAGGCGGGUCUCUGGGCAACAACUGACGCUGAGGAGCGAAAGCGUGGGGAGCGAACAGG